rnacentral:lncRNA from 1 species
AGUAUUCAUGUGGAACAUUGGCCUGUAGUUUUCUUAUUUUGAUGUCUCUGUCUGAUUUUGGUAUCAGGGUAAUACUGGCCUCACAGAAUGAAAUGCUUUGAUGUCUUAAAUGGUACAUCCAAACUUAAGUGAAAUAGAGCUGUGAGGACAUUUUGGGGAGAAGUGACCUAGAUAAGCACUGACUGUUGCAUUCAUCUCUCUUCUUGCUGAUUGUGAUGAUUUCCUGUGCCAUAGCCAUUCAAAGUCUGCCAAAAAAGGCCUUGCCUCCUGGAUGGCAUUUUUGAACCCACCCUGGGCCAGAGGGGAGCCCACUUCUUUGAAGACAGAAACACAGGACUGGCAACAUUUACCAUAAGCUGACUGAGCAGCCAUUGGGCCUUGAGUGAACAUUGGUGGUAGCCAGGCAGUACUUGUCUCAGUACUUGCCUCAGGCCUGGGGUGUCGGUGACCACAGGGAGAGCAUCCAUCUGCUUGAGGAAAGGAGAACAAAGAAAAUAAAGGGCUUAAUCUUGCACUUGAUUGCCAGCUCAGCCAUAGUAGAAUACAGCACCAAGUAAAUUCCUAAGGAUCCUGAUUCCAGGUCCUGGCUCCCAGAUGACAUUUUAGGACUUGUCUUGGGCUUAGGGGGAGCUCGUCAUACUGAAGGGAAAAACACAAGCCUGGCUGGAUUUGCCACCAGCUGAAUAAAGAGUGCUUGGGCCUUGAGUGAACAUUGGCAAUAGCCAAGGAGUGGUCACCAUGGACCUUAGGCAAGAAACCCGGUGCCGUGCUGGCUUUGGAUCUGACCCAGCAUAAUCUCACUGGUAUUUUACUUCUUGUCCAUUUACUUUUUAGUUUAUCAUACACACCAUGUUUACUAGUACUAAAACUGUCUUAAAAUAUUGCAAUUUUGACCCUUUUUCUAAUUGACCUUUAUGUUUUUACAAGCACAUUUUAUUACAUAUGAAUGAGACUUUACUAUGUUAUAUGUAACUCUUAAUUCUGUAAAUAAUAGAUUGCUUAUCUGAAAUAUAGCUGAUAUUUGUUUCUUAAUUAUUUGGCUAUUCCCUAUAUGUUAUACUCUACUAAAGAUCAUGGGAUUUAGAUUCAGAAAACUUACUUCCUAGCUCUUAUUAUUUCUGUGAUCUUGCAAAAGAAAACAAAAAUGAACCAUUGUUUUUUUAUCUGUAACAGGAAAUGUACUUCACAGGAUUGUAAUGAGAAUUAAAUUAGAUAAUAUACAUGAAAAUCACUUCUGAAU